CUCCUGGUGGUCUAGUUGGUUCAUGGCGUCUGACUGUAAUGGCAAUUAGCAAUCAGAAUGUCGCGUGUUCGAUUCACGCCCGGGAGA
rnacentral:tRNA from 1 species